UACCACGUAGUGUAGUGGUUAGCACGCUCGACUGACAAUCGAGAGGGGCCGGGUUCGAAUCCCAGCGCGGCGAGGCAA